CAGUUACGUCACCCCCUAGUAAGGUGCUUUUGUGGAGCUGCCCUUAUAUUGCCUGUACAAAUAAGCAUCAUGUCUGUGGCAACAGAUUCCGAAACUUUGUCUCCUAUUUUGUAGUAAGCCAUCCGGCAGGUACUAAACAAACCCAAGCCAAAGAAGUUCAAGCAGUGAGGCUCUGCGGUUCGGUUAAUCUUCCUUUCGCUUUUUUGCCUUCCACUUCUCUCUGCACUAGGGGGACCUGCGAACAGUCAGGCAGCAUCCAGGGAGACUCCCUUCCUCUCUGGGCAAGAUGGCGAGGGGUGAAGCUAGUCUGACUCUGCGGCAGCCGCAUCUUUCUCGUCGGGAUCUCAACAACUUGGAUGCUACCAAGUUGACUCCACUCUCAAAGGAAGUUAUCAGCAGACAAGCCACAAUUAACAUAGGUACAAUUGGUCAUGUUGCUCAUGGAAAAUCUACAGUUGUCAAAUCUAUUUCUGGAGUUCACACUGUCAGAUUUAAAAAUGAAUUGGAAAGAAAUAUUACAAUCAAACUUGGGUACGCUAAUGCCAAGGUACAGUGGCAGAAGGAGCUCCCAUUAUUCCAAUUUCCGCUCAGUUGAAAUACAAUAUUUUAAUAAAAAAAUUAUCUUUAUUGUUGAAGUAUUAUAGAAGUCCUCCCAUUUUCCCCCCAUUAACACCCUCCGUCCUUCUCCCACUUUCUCCAUAUGCCUUUACAGCACUAUUUCCAUAGGUAAUGAAUAUAGCCAUCUAAGUUCUUUUGUUAAUCUCUUCCCACUGCCCCCAUCUAUUCCAUUUGAGAUUCAUAAGGCUGUUCAAUGCUUCCAUGUCUCUAGAUCUAUCUUGUUGGUGAGUUUAUUUUGUUCAUAUAAGUGAUAUCAUGUCUUUCACUGACUGACUUAUUUCAUUUAGCAUAAUACUAUCCAGGUCCCUCCAGCUGACUCAAAAGGUGAGAGAUUCUUCUAUUUUACAGCUGUAUAAAAUUCCAUUUUGUAAAUGAACCACAGCUUUUUAAUCCACUCAUCUGCUGAUGGGCACUUGGGUUAUUUUCAGAUCCUGGCUAUCCUAUAUAAUAAAAGGCUAAUAUGCAAAUCCGCUGAACAGUGGAACGAACUCUCAACUCAGGAGCUGCUCCCUGGUGGUCAGUGUGCUCCCACACGGGGAGUGCUGCUCAGCCAGAGCAGGGCUCAUGGCUGGUGAGCACAGUGGCUUUGGCCGUACCCUCUUCUCUUCUCUCUCCGUGGCAGCGUUAGGAUGCCUGACUGAUGACUGGGAGGGGCCACAGGCUGGGCUGAGGGGCCCCCCUCCUGAGUGCACGAAUGUUGUGCACUGGGCCUCUUGUUAUAAAUAAUGCUGCAAUGAACAUAGGGGCAUAUAUAUUUCUCAUGAUUCUAUUUUGGGAUUCUUAGGAUCUAUUGACAAAAUGGUUCAUAGGGUCAAGCAACAAUUCUAUUUUUAAUUUUUUGAGAAAACUCUAUACUGUUUUCUAGUGGCUGCUCCAGUCUGCAUUUCUACCAGCAGUGCACAUGGGUUUCCUUUUCUCUACAUCCUCGCUAGCACUUAUUUUUGUUGAUUUGUUGAUGGUAGCCAUUCUGACAGGUGUGAGGUGAUACCUUGUUGUUUUAAUCUGCAUUUUUCUGAAGCAUUUUUUCAUAUGUAUGUCCACUUUGAAGAAGUGUCUAUUUAGUUCCUUUGUCCUUUUUUUAUUGGUUUGUUUUUCUCCCUUAUGCUAACUUGUAUGAGUUCUUUAUAUAUUUUGGAAAAUAACCAGUUAUCAGAUGUAUCAUUGGCAAAUAUGUUUUCCCUAUGGAGGAUCCCUUUUUAUUUUGUUGAUGGUAUCUUUGCUUUUCAGAAGCUUUUUAUUUUGAUGUAGGCCCAUUUGUCUGUUUUUCCUUAGAUUUUCUUAACUCUAGGUAGUGUAUCAGUGAAUAUUUUGCUACAUGAGAUGUCUGAUAUUUUGCUCAAGGUUUCCUCUAGGAUUUUUGUGAUUUCAUGACUUAACAUUUAAGUAUUUUAUCUAUUUUGAGUUUAUUCUUAUGUAUGGUUUAAGUUGGUGAUCUACUUUUAUAUUUUUACAUGUACUGUUCAGUUUUCCAAACAUCAUAUAUUAUCUUUACUCCAUUGUAUGCUCUUGCUUCCUUUUUCAAUAUUAAUUGACCGUAAUGGCGUAGGUCAAUUUCUGAGUUCUCUGUUCUGUUCCAUUGGUCUCUGUGUCUGUUCUUGUGCCGGUACCAGUUUUCUGUGUUUUUUAAAUAUACUUUAUUGAUUAUUUACAGAGAGGGAAGGGAGAGAAAUAGAGAGUUAGAAACAUCGAUGAGUGAGAAACAUCAAUCAGCUGCCUCCUGUUCACUCCCUACUGGAGAUGUGCCCGCAACCCAGGUAGAUGCCCUUGACCAUAAUUGAACCUGGGACCCUUCAAUCCUCAGGCCGACGCUCUAUCCACUGAGCCAAACCGGCUAGGGCCAGUUUUGUGUUUUGAUUACAAUGGCUUUGUGGUAUAAUUUGAAAUCUGAUAUUGUGUUCCCUCCAUCUGUGUUGUUCUUUCUCAAGAUUGCUGUCACUAUUCUGGGUCUUUUCUGGUUCCAUAUAAAUUUUUGGAGUAUUUGUUCUAUUUUUCUAGGAAUUUGUCCAUUUCAUCCUCAUUAUUCAGCUUGUUGGCAUAUUGUGGUUCAUAGUAUUUUCUUACAAUCCUAUAUAUUUCUGUGGUAUUAGUGGUUACUUCUCUGCUUUUGUUUCUGAUUUUAUUUAUUUGGGUCCUCUCUCUUUGUUUCUUGAUGAGUCUGGCUAACAGUUCAUCAAUCUUUUUUAUCCUUUCAAAGAACCAGCUUUUGGUUUCAUUGAUUUUUUUUUUUUUAUAUUGCUUUUUAGUCUCUAUGUCAGUGGUUCUCGACCCGUGGGUCACGACCCCUUGGGGGGUCGAAUGACCCUUUCACAGGGGUCACCUAAAACCAUCAGAAAACAUACAUAUAAUUACCUACUGUUUUUGUGAUUAAUCACUAUGCUUAAUUAUGUUCAAUUUAUAACAAUGAAAAUACACCCUGCAUAUCAGAUAUUUACAUUACGAUUCAUAACAGUAACAAAAUUACAGUUAUGAAGUAGCAACAAAAGUAAUUUUAUGGUAGGGGGUCACCACAACAUGAGGAACUGUAUUAAAGGGUCACGGCAUUAGGAAGGUUGAGAACCACUGCUCCAUGUUAUUUAUUUCUGCUCUAAUCUUUAUUAUUCCCUUCUAUUUACUCUGGGCUUUUCUUGUUGUUCUCUUUCUAGUUCUUUAAGUUGUAGGGUUAAAUAGUUUAUUAUUGAUUUUCCUUGUUAUUGAUGUAUGUCUGGAAUACUAUGGACUUCCCUCUCAAGACUGCUUUUGCUGUGUCCAGAGAUUUGGGUUGUUGUAUGUUCAUUUUCAUUUGUUUCCAGGAAGUUUUUUAUUUCUUUCUUGAUUUCGUUGGUAACCCAUUCCUUGUUUAGUAAAAUGCUAUUUAGCCUCCAUAUGUUUGAAUGUUUUGAGGUGUUUUUACUGUAAUUGACUUCUAAUUUCAUUUCACUGUGUUCUGAGAAGAAGCUUGAUAUGAUUUCAGUCUUCUUGAACUUGUGUCCUAACAUAUAGUCUAUUUUUGUGAA